rnacentral:rRNA from 1 species
GACGAACGCUGGCGGCGUGCUUAACACAUGCAAGUCGAGGGGGCCCGCAAGGGUCACCGGCGAACGGGUGCGUAACACGUGAGCAACCUGCCGCGGAGUGGGGGAUAGCCGGCCCAACGGCCGGGUAGUACCGCAUACGAUCCUUGGGGGGAGUCCUCUGGGGAUGAAAGUUUUAACGCUCUGCGAGGGGCUCGCGGCCUAUCAGCUAGUUGGCGAGGUAACGGCUCACCAAGGCGACGACGGGUAGCUGGUCUGAGAGGAUGGCCAGCCACAUUGGGACUGCGACACGGCCCAGACUCCUACGGGAGGCAGCAGUGGGGAAUCUUGCGCAAUGGGCGAAAGCCUGACGCAGCGACGCCGCGUGGGGGAGGAAGGUCUUCGGAUUGUAAACCCCUGUUGCCCGGGACGAACCUCUCGUUUCGACGAGACUGACGGUACCGGGUGAGGAAGCACCGGCUAACUCCGUGCCAGCAGCCGCGGUAAUACGGAGGGUGCGAGCGUUGUCCGGAAUCACUGGGCGUAAAGGGCGCGUAGGUGGCACGGUAAGCGUGUGGUGAAAGCUCGGGGCUCAACCCCGAGUCGGCCAUGCGAACUGCUGCGCUUGAGCACUGUAGAGGCAGACGGAAUUCCGGGUGUAGCGGUGGAAUGCGUAGAGAUCCGGAAGAACACCGGUGGCGAAGGCGGUCUGCUGGGCAGUAGCUGACACUGAGGCGCGACAGCGUGGGGAGCAAACAGGAUUAGAUACCCUGGUAGUCCACGCCGUAAACGAUGGGCACUAGGUGCCUGGGGGAGCGACCCCC